GAUGAACGCUGGCGGCGUGCUUAACACAUGCAAGUCGAACGAAGCACUUAAGAUUGCUUCUUCGGAUGACGUCUUUUGUGACUUAGUGGCGGACGGGUGAGUAACGCGUGGGUAACCUGCCUCACACAGGGGGAUAACAGUUAGAAAUGACUGCUAAUACCGCAUAACCCGAUAGGAUCGCAUGAUCCAGACGGAAAAGAUUUAUCGGUGUGAGAUGGACCCGCGUCUGAUUAGCUAGUUGGUGAGGUAACGGCCCACCAAGGCGACGAUCAGUAGCCGGCCUGAGAGGGUGAACGGCCACAUUGGGACUGAGACACGGCCCAAACUCCUACGGGAGGCAGCAGUGGGGAAUAUUGCACAAUGGGGGAAACCCUGAUGCAGCGACGCCGCGUGAGUGAAGAAGUAUUUCGGUAUGUAAAGCUCUAUCAGCAGGGAAGAAAAUGACGGUACCUGACUAAGAAGCCCCGGCUAACUACGUG
rnacentral:rRNA from 1 species